rnacentral:rRNA from 1 species
CCCUUAGAUGUUCUGGGCCGCACGCGUGCUACACUGAGUGGAUCAGCGGGUCAGGUUGCGCGAAAGUGUUUCCUAAUCUUGAAAUCCGCUCGUGAUGGGGAUUGACGGUUGCAAUUUUCCGUCAUGAACGAGGAAUACCUUGUAAGCGCGGGUCAUCAUCCCGCGCUGAAUACGUCCCUGCCCUUUGUACACACCGCCCGUCGCUCCUACCGAUUGAGUGGUCCGGUGAGGCUUUGGGAUCUGAGCGGAAAGAGCGUUUCGCUGUUUCUGCUCGGAAAACUCAGUCGAACCUUAUCAUUUAGAGGAAGGAGAAGGCGUAACA